UGGGGAAUUUUGGACAAUGGGCGAAAGCCUGAUCCAGCCAUGCCGCGUGAGUGAAGAAGGCCUUCGGGUUGUAAAGCUCUUUUAGUCGGAAAGAAAGAGUUGCAAUGAAUAAUUGUGAUUUAUGACGGUACCGACAGAAGAAGCACCGGCUAACUACGUGCCAGCAGCCGCGGUAAUACGUAGGGUGCGAGCGUUAAUCGGAAUUACUGGGCGUAAAGGGUGCGCAGGCGGUCUUGCAAGUCAGAUGUGAAAGCCCCGGGCUUAACCUGGGAAUUGCGUUUGAAACUACAAGACUAGAGUGCAGCAGAGGGGAGUGGAAUUCCAUGUGUAGCAGUGAAAUGCGUAGAGAUGUGGAAGAACACCGAUGGCGAAGGCAGCUCCCUGGGUUGACACUGACGCUCAUGCACGAAAGCGUGGGGAGCAAACA
rnacentral:rRNA from 1 species